rnacentral:rRNA from 1 species
UACGUAGGGGCCGAGCGUUGUCCGGAUUCAUUGGGCGUAAAGAGCGUGUAGGCGGCCGCUUAAGUCCUGCGUGAAAUCUCGGAGCUCAACUCCGAGCGGUCGUGGGAAACUGGGCGGCUAGAGUGCGGGAGAGGAGAGUGGAAUUCCUGGUGUAGCGGUGGAAUGCGCAGAUAUCAGGAAGAACACCCGUGGCGAAGGCAGGUCUCUGGGCCAUUACUGACACUGAGAAGCGAAAGCAUGGGGAGCGAACAGG